UGAGGGUGAAAGGGUUGCAAUAAACUGGUGGCUGCGACUGUUUAAUAAAAACACAGCACUCUGCAAACACGAAAGUGGACGUAUAGGGUGUGACGCCUGCCCGGUGCCGGAAGGUUAAUUGAUGGGGUUAGCUAACGCGAAGCUCUUGAUCGAAGCCCCGGUAAACGGCGGCCGUAACAAUAACGGUCCUAAGGUAGCGAAA
rnacentral:rRNA from 14 species